UACGCAGGUGGCAAGCGUUAUCCGGAUUUACUGGGUGUAAAGGGCGUGUAGGCGGGACUGCAAGUCAGAUGUGAAAAUUAUGGGCUCAACCCAUAACCUGCAUUUGAAACUGUAGUUCUUGAGUGAUGGAGAGGCAGGCGGAAUUCCGUGUGUAGCGGUGAAAUGCGUAGAUAUACGGAGGAACACCAGUGGCGAAGGCGGCCUGCUGGACAUUAACUGACGCUGAGGCGCGAAGGCGUGGGGAGCAAACGGG
rnacentral:rRNA from 1 species